UGUUGGUCUUAGGUGAUGAAAGUAUUGCAAAUAUAAUUUGACAAUCAAAUUAACAUUGUGUCCAUAGUUUGUUCUCAUAUAGACAAAUACAAUUUGUUAGUCAAAAAGUCAAGAUUGAUAAAUUAUGUUGAGAAGGUAAGACUGAAAAGUUGGAUCGAGAAAACUCAACCUAGAAGUUGGACUAUAAAGAUAAAGGGUUAAAUAUGUUUUUAGUCACUAUACUUUGAGGCGAUUUUGGUUUUAGUCCCUC
rnacentral:lncRNA from 1 species